GUCAGAAUACCAUCCAAGGUGUAAUUUACUCUGAGGUCAAUUGGAAGUGAGGUCACGCAGCAGUUGCAAAUCUGCUUCCUAGUUCUCACGACCUGUGUGCCAAACAAUUGUCAUUAAUAAGAUUAAAUUGGCAUAGGAAAAAAUAUGGAUGCACUUAUAGGGAGACUUGUAAAGCUGUAAGAGUCUUUAAGAGCUGGCUUGCACAGUAGUUAGUGCCUGGAUACUUUUUAGCUCCUGGUUAAUUCUGCUCAGUUGCUCUAAUCAGAACAGUCGUUUAUCAGUUUUUCCAACUUGUGUUGAAAUUUCAGAAGGAUACUGUCCAACAGAGGAUGGCAAAGUUUAUUUCUUCAGGUCAGUGUCUUUUAUUUUGUAUUUUUUUAUCUGAAGAGACCAAGGAAUCCCAAGCUCUUAUUGUCUCCGUCUGUCUUUUUGUUUUGGUUUUUUUUUGUUGUUGUUGUUUGUUUUGUUUUGUUUUGUUUUGCUUCAUGGGGAAGAGUUGUGUGGUUCAAAGAAAACACGAAUAUUUUUCAGUUUGGAUGGAACCAUGCAGUCCUGGGGAAGGCAAGUCCAUGGAAGAAAGCAACAGUGUUUGACAAUGGAUACCAAAUGCUUGCAAAACUACACUUCGUAGGAGGAACAGCUCUUUUCCUUAGCUGAAGUCUCUGCAAACAUUUUACCCAACUAUGAACCCUAAGGAAUAGCAUGAUGACUAUUAUAAUGCAACAGACAAUUUUAGCUAGAGCUUGGAAACCAGUGUCUUCAAGUGUUUCAAGAAGAAGUUACAAGAUUGGUUGAAGUCUAUAAUGGAAAGUAAAAUGCUCUAAAUAAACAUAAUAAAACUAUAC
ensembl:lncRNA